CCCAAAGAAGCUUAUUAAACAAGCGGUGGUCUUGUAAACCACAGAAGGUUAAGCCCCUAGGGC
rnacentral:tRNA from 1 species